rnacentral:rRNA from 1 species
AAGGGAGCUUGCUCCCGGAUGUUAGCGGCGGACGGGUGAGUAACACGUGGGUAACCUGCCUGUAAGACUGGGAUAACUCCGGGAAACCGGAGCUAAUACCGGAUAGUUCCUUGAACCGCAUGGUUCAAGGAUGAAAGACGGUUUCGGCUGUCACUUACAGAUGGACCCGCGGCGCAUUAGCUAGUUGGUGAGGUAACGGCUCACCAAGGCGACGAUGCGUAGCCGACCUGAGAGGGUGAUCGGCCACACUGGGACUGAGACACGGCCCAGACUCCUACGGGAGGCAGCAGUAGGGAAUCUUCCGCAAUGGACGAAAGUCUGACGGAGCAACGCCGCGUGAGUGAUGAAGGUUUUCGGAUCGUAAAGCUCUGUUGUUAGGGAAGAACAAGUGCAAGAGUAACUGCUUGCACCUUGACGGUACCUAACCAGAAAGCCACGGCUAACUACGUGCCAGCAGCCGCGGUAAUACGUAGGUGGCAAGCGUUGUCCGGAAUUAUUGGGCGUAAAGGGCUCGCAGGCGGUUUCUUAAGUCUGAUGUGAAAGCCCCCGGCUCAACCGGGGAGGGUCAUUGGAAACUGGGAAACUUGAGUGCAGAAGAGGAGAGUGGAAUUCCACGUGUAGCGGUGAAAUGCGUAGAGAUGUGGAGGAACACCAGUGGCGAAGGCGACUCUCUGGUCUGUAACUGACGCUGAGGAGCGAAAGCGUGGGGAGCGAACAGGAUUAGAUACCCUGGUAGUCCACGCCGUAAACGAUGAGUGCUAAGUGUUAGGGGGUUUCCGCCCCUUAGUGCUGCAGCUAACGCAUUAAGCACUCCGCCUGGGAGUACGGUCGCAAGACUGAAACUCAAAGGAAUUGACGGGGGGCCCGCACAAGCGGUGGAGCAUGUGGUUUUAAUUCGAAGCAA